CGGCGGACGGGUGAGUAAUGCCUAGGAAUCUGCCUGGUAGUGGGGGACAACGUUUCGAAAGGAACGCUAAUACCGCAUACGUCCUACGGGAGAAANCGGGGGGACCUUCGGGCCUUGCGCUAUCAGAUGAGCCUAGGUCGGAUUAGCUAGUUGGUGAGGUAAUGGCUCACCAAGGCGACGAUCCGUAACUGGUCUGAGAGGAUGAUCAGUCACAUGGAACUGAGACACGGUCCAGACUCCUACGGGAGGCAGCAGAA
rnacentral:rRNA from 1 species